ACAGUCCAGAAAGGACCAAAGGCCUCCAGUCAUUAGCCACGUGAGAGAGCCAUCUUGACAUCAGAUUCUCCAGCUCCAAUCAAGCUUUUAGAUGACAGCAACCCCAGAAACCCUGAGCCAUAGUCAGCUAGAUAACUACUACAGGAAGGUAGACUAGAAGUAGGAGCCUGAGAAAAAGGCCAAGGGACAUAGGGCAGAGAGAAGGUAUAUGAAAGCGUGGAGAAGUGUAGAAUUGCUC